rnacentral:rRNA from 1 species
AUGCACGCUGGCGGCGUGCCUCAUACAUGCAAGUCGCGCGAACAGACGAGGAGCUUGCUCCUUUGACGUUAGCGGCGGACGGGUGAGUAACACGUGGAUAACCUACCUAUAAGACUGGGAUAACUUCGGGAAACCGGAGCUAAUACCGGAUAACAUGUUGAACCGCAUGGUUCAACAGUGAAAGACGGUCUUGCUGUCACUUAUAGAUGGAUCCGCGCCGCAUUAGCUAGUUGGUAAGGUAACGGCUUACCAAGGCAACGAUGCGUAGCCGACCUGAGAGGGUGAUCGGCCACACUGGAACUGAGACACGGUCCAGACUCCUACGGGAGGCAGCAGUAGGGAAUCUUCCGCAAUGGGCGAAAGCCUGACGGAGCAACGCCGCGUGAGUGAAGAAGGUCUUCGGAUCGUAAAACUCUGUUAUUAGGGAAGAACAAAUGUGUAAGUAACUAUGCACGUCUUGACGGUACCUAAUCAGAAAGCCACGGCUAACUACGUG